rnacentral:siRNA from 1 species
GCCUAAAUCGCGAUUAGUCUCUAGC